rfam:Heligmosomoides polygyrus genome assembly, scaffold: HPBE_scaffold0011977
CCAACGGCCCUCUUUAGGGCCACAUAUAUCUGCCAUACGAAUCGA